UGGGCUUGUAGCUCAGUUGGUUAGAGCAGGGGACUCAUAAUCCCUUUGUCCAGGGUUCAAGUCCCUGCGGCCCUA
rnacentral:tRNA from 1 species